rnacentral:rRNA from 1 species
UGAACGCUGGCGGCGUGCUUAACACAUGCAAGUCGAACGAAGCAACUUGUCACGAUCCCUCGGGGUGACGACUUGUUGACUGAGUGGCGGACGGGUGAGUAACGCGUGGGUAACCUACCUGUACAGGGGGAUAACAGUUGGAAACGACUGCUAAUACCGCAUAAGCGCACAGUAUCGCAUGAUACAGUGUGAAAAGUUUUUUCGGUAUAAGAUGGACCCCGCGUCUGAUUAGCUAGUUGGUGAGGUAACGGCCCACCAAGGCGACGAUCAGUAGCCGACCUGAGAGGGUGACCGGCCACAUUGGGACUGAGACACGGCCCAAACUCCUACGGGAGGCAGCAGUGGGGAAUAUUGCACAAUGGGCGAAAGCCUGAUGCAGCCGACGCCGCGUGAGCGAAGAAGUAUUUCGGUAUGUAAAGCUCUAUCAGCAGGGAAGAUAAUGACGGUACCUGACUAAGAAGCACCGGCUAAAUACGUGCCAGCCGCCGC